rnacentral:rRNA from 1 species
UACAGAGGGUGCAAGCGUUAAUCGGAAUUACUGGGCGUAAAGCGUGCGUAGACGGUUAUGUAAGUCGGGUGUGAAAGCCCCGGGCUCAACCUGGGAAUGCCAUUCGAGACUGCAUAGCUAGGGUGCGGAAGAGGGAAGCGGAAUUUACGGUGUAGCGGUGAAAUGCGUAGAUAUCGUAAGGAAGACCAGUGGCGAAGGCGGGUCUCUGGACAGUUCCUGACGCUGAGGCACGAAGGCCAGGGGAGCAAACGGG